UGGCUUUUAGUAACUUCAACGAAAGCUUAACUUAUUUUAUUCAUUUAAGUGCAGUUUUACAAAUCUUUUGUUAACUACCUUAUUUUAUUCCUUUGAUUGUACAUGUUAAACAAAAGCUUGUUUUAAAAAAAAAUUUUUUUAAAUUAUUUUAUUUCUGGUGGUCUUCUUGCAUGUUGUAGCAGAAGUUGGUUAUAAUAGAACUUAGGCAGGGAACUUCUGUUGUUAAUGGGAGCGACAAAGCCUCAGCCGCUUUGCUGUCAGCCAUCUCGUUUCCUUUUAUUCCGACAUGUCCUGGGAGCCACAAUAUUUUUAUUGUAGGGCCUUGAUAUUUAAGUACAUGCUGAAUUAAAUUGCUGUUUCUGGUAGAUGCAAGAUGUUUAACAACGCUUAAGCUAUCGGAACAUGUUAAAGCUUUGCGAUUUGUUGAUGCUGCGUGUUUGAUAGCCCGCUGUAUUGCCCACAAUUCUGCAUUGAAGAUACCUGUAUGCGGCGGUAACAACGCUUGAAUCAAGGUUUUGAACGAGUUCGUAGCCGUUUGUUCAAUUACAGCGUAACUAUUUCAUUUCAUUUCAUUUAAUAAUCAAUAAGCAAUGUGUUUACCGACUAUAUUACAAAUUUAUAAAACAGGAUAACGUAAAAAACUAUGUCAAAUUCAAUGGCACAUUUUGUCAAAUUAAUGGAAACGCUUGCCAUUCGGUGCCAUUGCCAUCUUUUGUUAAUCUAUGAUAAAAGUUUUAAUCACAGAAUGGCAACUCAGUGAAAACACCAAAGUUUGUGCUUCGAAAUCAAUCAGUCAAUCAAAAUAUUGUCAAAUGGCAUCACAAAUCAAAUUGACAACCUGUUGAAAUUUUCCCGCAUUUUUUAAGAAUAAACAUACAAAGCAGCAGUGAGAUACUAAUUGUGCUAUUUUUGCAAUACAUUGUAAUGGAAGAAAGCUACGAAAUCAUCGCAUCUGCAUCCCAAGAUAGCAGACCAGCAAAGAAGGGAAUCCGGAAACUCGAAGCAAAAUGGACAAGCGCGGAGACGGAGAAAAGCGCUCUGGAAGGAGAUAGCUGGCGAAAUGAAGAUGGCACCGUCCGAAAUAAAAAACAAGUAGAACAGUUUGCGUUGCUCCUUCGGGACAACUUUAAACAAAAUGAAUUCAACAAAGAGUGGACAAGGAGCUUCUACCAAGCAACUACCACAAAUCUUCCAUUUGUUAAAGUUUCUAGAACCGACUUUGCGAUUGGAGGCACCAACAAUUUCAAAUUUGCAUAGUAUGUAUGCAUAAUUUACAGUACACAUAUUUUGUUCUAUUGUAUUAUUAAUUUCGUUUCCUUGUAGGACUUGGGUACUUUGGAUACCAUUGAAGAAAAUGAGAACACUCAGACACCAACUAUUGUCGCGAGACGACGCCGUAAUGACGAUUCGUCGUAUAUUAAAGUAGUAGAACGCGCUUUGGGGACCAUGAGGCGAAACACAUACACAAAAUCAGCUGAUCUAGUAACACCACCUUAUAUAAAUUCGCCUUGUGACCUGGUCUAC